UACGGAGGGUGCAAGCGUUAUCCGGAUUCACUGGGUUUAAAGGGAGCGUAGGUGGGCUGGUAAGUCAGUGGUGAAAUCUCCGGGCUUAACUCGGAAACUGCCGUUGAUACUAUCAGUCUUGAAUAUUGUGGAGGUAUGCGGAAUAUGUCAUGUAGCGGUGAAAUGCUUAGAGAUGACAUAGAACACCUAUUGCGAAGGCAGCAUACUACGGAAAGAUUGACGCUGAGGCACGAAAGUGUGGGGAUCAAACAGG
rnacentral:rRNA from 1 species